UACGAAGGGGGCUAGCGUUGCUCGGAAUCACUGGGCGUAAAGCGCACGUAGGCGGCUUCUUAAGUCAGGGGUGAAAUCCUGGAGCUCAACUCCAGAUCUGCCUUUGAUACUGAGGAGCUUGAGUCCGGGAGAGGUGAGUGGAACUGCGAGUGUAGAGGUGAAAUUCGUAGAUAUUCGCAAGAACACCAGUGGCGAAGGCGGCUCACUGGCCCGGUACUGACGCUGAGGUGCGAAAGCGUGGGGAGCAAACAGG
rnacentral:rRNA from 1 species